rnacentral:rRNA from 1 species
AGUGAACGCUGGCGGUAGGCCUAACACAUGCAAGUCGAACGGCAGCACAGUAAGAGCUUGCUCUUACGGGUGGCGAGUGGCGGACGGGUGAGGAAUACAUCGGAAUCUACUUUUUCGUGGGGGAUAACGUAGGGAAACUUACGCUAAUACCGCAUACGACCUACGGGUGAAAGCGGGGGAUCUUCGGACCUUGCGCGAUUGAAUGAGCCGAUGUCGGAUUAGCUAGUUGGCGGGGUAAAGGCCCACCAAGGCGACGAUCCGUAGCUGGUCUGAGAGGAUGAUCAGCCACACUGGAACUGAGACACGGUCCAGACCCCUACGGGAGGCAGCAGUGGGGAAUAUUGGACAAUGGGCGCAAGCCUGAUCCAGCCAUACCGCGUGGGUGAAGAAGGCCUUCGGGUUGUAAAGCCCUUUUGUUGGGAAAGAAAAGCAGCAGGUUAAUACCCCGCUGUUCUGACGGUACCCAAAGAAUAAGCACCGGCUAACUUCGUG